UUUGGGGGGCAGUACGGGUGCGUAACGCGUAGGAAUCUGCCUAUUAGUGGGGGACAACUUAGGGAAACUUAAGCUAAUACCGCAUACGCCCUACGGGGGAAAGGAGGGGACCUUCGGGCCUUUCGCUAAUAGAUGAGCCUGCGUUGGAUUAGCUAGUUGGUGGGGUAAAGGCCUACCAAGGCGACGAUCCAUAGCUGGUCUGAGAGGACGAUCAGCCACACUGGGACUGAGACACGGCCCAGACUCCUACGGGAGGCAGCAGUGGGGAAUAUUGGACAAUGGGCGAAAGCCUGAUCCAGCAAUACCGCGUGUGUGAAGAAGGCCUUAGGGUUGUAAAGCACUUUCAAUUGGAAGGAAAAACUCAUGGCCAAUACCCAUGAGCUUGACAUUACCUUUAGAAGAAGCACCGGCUAAC
rnacentral:rRNA from 1 species